AAGCUCUGUGAUCAAUGAAUCAGAUAUUCCACCCCGCACACAAUGUCUCGGCCCCCUGGGGAUGGGGAGGGGCUCAUUAGCACAACACAUGCACCUGCCCAUUGAUCCUGAGCUGCCUCCUUUCCCCACAGCACAUUAACUACUGGAUCAUGUCCAGGGUGUCGCGAGAGAGAGCCAGGCCAUUAGGAGCAGCACAGCCCUUCUCAGAUCCACCAUCACCCUCCCUGAGUUCAACAACUCAGCUGAAUUCCCCAGGAUGGGUCACCAUGUGGCACAGCUACCUCUGUUUGUCGAUGACCCAGCCAAGGACAUCAGCCAGCAGGCCAGGGAGGGGGUUUACCUGCUCUACCAGCUGCUGCUGUACCAGAGGGGCACACAGCGAGGACUCUGCCCACUGUGCAGCCACCAGUGGGAUUGGAAGGACACAAACACUGAAACCAGAAUGACAAAUGUGU